rnacentral:piRNA from 1 species
UAUGUGAGGAUCCAAAGCACUUCUUUGU